UCCAAUGUAUUUUUGCUGGGACUUUUGCU
rnacentral:piRNA from 1 species